rnacentral:rRNA from 1 species
GAUGAACGCUAGCGGCAGGCUUAAUACAUGCAAGUCGAACGGGAUUCGGGGUAGCAAUACUUUGAUGAGAGUGGCGCACGGGUGCGUAACGCGUAUGCAACCUACCUUUAACAGGGGAAUAGCCCCGAGAAAUCGGGAUUAAUACUCCGUAACAUUGCGGUGUGGCAUCACACUGCACUUAAAGCUGAGGCGGUUAAAGAUGGGCAUGCGUGACAUUAGCUAGUUGGUGAGGUAACGGCUCACCAAGGCAACGAUGUCUAGGGGUCCUGAGAGGGUUAUCCCCCACACUGGUACUGAGACACGGACCAGACUCCUACGGGAGCAGCAGUAAGGAAUAUUGGUCAAUGGGCGCAAGCCUGAACCAGCCAUGCCGCGUGCAGGAAGACGGCCCUAUGGGUUGUAAACUGCUUUUGUCAGGGAAUAAACCCCCGCUCGUGAGCGGGGCUGAAGGUACCUGAAGAAUAAGCAUCGGCUAACUCCGUGCCAGCAGCCGAC